CCUACGGGAGGCUGCAGUAGGGAAUAUUGCUCAAUGGGGGAAACCCUGAAGCAGCAACGCCGCGUGGAGGAUGAAGGUUUUCGGAUUGUAAACUCCUUUUGUUAGAGAAGAUAAUGACGGUAUCUAACGAAUAAGCACCGGCUAACUCCGUGCCAGCAGCCGCGGUAAUACGGAGGGUGCAAGCGUUACUCGGAAUCACUGGGCGUAAAGAGCGCGUAGGCGGGUUAGCAAGUCAGAUGUGAAAUCCUAUGGCUUAACCAUAGAAUUGCAUUUGAAACUGUUAUACUAGAGUAUGGGAGAGGUAGGUGGAAUUCUUGGUGUAGGGGUAAAAUGCGUAGAGAUCAAGAGGAAGACUCAUUGCGAAGGCGACCUGCUAGAACAUAACUGACGCUGAUGCGCGAAAGCGUGGGGAGCAAACAGGAUUAGAUACCCUAGUAGUC
rnacentral:rRNA from 1 species